ACACAUGCAAGUCGGACGAGAAAGGGGCUUCGGCCCCGAGUAAAGUGGCGCACGGGUGAGUAACACGUGGGUAACCUGCCUCUAAGAUGGGGAUAACCUGUCGAAAGACGGACUAAUACCGAAUAAGACCACAGUUUCCUUGGAAACAGGGGUCAAAGGUAGCCUCUACUUGUAAGCUACCACUUAGAGAUGGGCCUGCGUACCAUUAGCUAGUUGGUGGGGUAACGGCCUACCAAGGCAAAGAUGGUUAGCUGGUCUGAGAGGAUGAUCAGCCACACUGGAACUGAGACACGGUCCAGACUCCUACGGGAGGCAGCAGUGGGGAAUAUUGCGCAAUGGGCGCAAGCCUGACGCAGCAACGCCGCGUGAGUGAUGAAGGCCUUCGGGUCGUAAAGCUCUGUCGGAGGGAACGAAUGCUCUUGGGGUUAACAGCCUCGAGAAGUGACGGUACCCUCAAAGGAAGCACCGGCUAACUCUGUGCCAGCAGCCGCGGUAUACAGAGGGUGCGAGCGUUGUUCGGAAUCAUUGGGCGUAAAGGGCGUGUAGGCGGUUUGUUAAGUCAUGUGUGAAAUCCCUCGGCUCAACCGGGGAAGGACGCAUGAAACUGACAAGCUAGAGUA
rnacentral:rRNA from 1 species